rnacentral:rRNA from 1 species
UACGAAGGGGGCUAGCGUUGCUCGGAAUGACUGGGCGUAAAGGGCGCGUAGGCGGCUUGCUGAGUCAGACGUGAAAUUCCUGGGCUUAACCUGGGGGCUGCGUUUGAUACCGGCGGGCUUGAGUGCGGAAGAGGGUCGUGGAAUUCCCAGUGUAGAGGUGAAAUUCGUAGAUAUUGGGAAGAACACCGGUGGCGAAGGCGGCGACCUGGUCCGUGACUGACGCUGAGGCGCGAAAGCGUGGGGAG